rnacentral:tRNA from 1 species
GCACUCGUAGCUCAGCUGGAUAGAGCGCUGCCCUCCGAAGGCAGAGGUCACAGGUUCGAAUCCUGUCGAGUGCACCA